UACAGAGGGUGCGAGCGUUAAUCGGAAUUACUGGGCGUAAAGCGUGCGUAGACGGUUAUGUAAGUCAGGUGUGAAAGCCCCGGGCUCAACCUGGGAAUUGCAUUCGAGACUGAAUAGCUAGGGUGCGGUAGAGGGAAGCGGAAUUUCCGGUGUAGCGGUGAAAUGCGUAGAUAUCGGAAGGAACAUCAGUGGCGAAGGCGGCGACCUGGGUUGAUACUGACGCUGAGGCGCGAAAGCGUGGGGAGCAAACAGG
rnacentral:rRNA from 1 species